UGGGCGGAAGAGGCGGGUUCAAGGCUCGGCGUCGGGGGCAACCGGGGGCUCCCCACGGAGCCCCCACCCUGCAGCCUGAGCCCGGGCAGAGCCAUGAGGCUGGCGGGGCGGCUGCUGGGGCUGGGGGCUCUGGGGGCCCUCACUUGGCUGCUGCUGACACUGCUUCUGGGACCCCCCCGGGCAGGGCCUGAGGGAGCCCCCACAGCCG